rnacentral:rRNA from 1 species
GAUGAACGCUGGCGGCGUGCCUAAUACAUGCAAGUCGAGCGAACAGACGAGGAGCUUGCUCCUCUGACGUUAGCGGCGGACGGGUGAGUAACACGUGGAUAACCUACCUAUAAGACUGGGAUAACUUCGGGAAACCGGAGCUAAUACCGGAUAAUAUAUUGAACCGCAUGGUUCAAUAGUGAAAGACGGUUUUGCUGUCACUUAUAGAUGGAUCCGCGCCGCAUUAGCUAGUUGGUAAGGUAACGGCUUACCAAGGCAACGAUGCGUAGCCGACCUGAGAGGGUGAUAGGCGACACUGGAACUGAGACACGGUCCAGACUCCUACGGGAGGCAGCAGUAGGGAAUCUUCCGCAAUGGGCGAAAGCCUGACGGAGCAACGCCGCGUGAGUGAUGAAGGUCUUCGGAUCGUAAAACUCUGUUAUUAGGGAAGAACAAAUGUGUAAGUAACUAUGCACGUCUUGACGGUACCUAAUCAGAAAGCCACGGCUAACUACGUG